UGAGUAACCUGCCCUUAACUCUGGGAUAAGCCUGGGAAACUGGGUCUAAUACCGGAUAUGACUCCUCAUCGCAUGGUGGGGGGUGGAAAGCUUUAUUGUGGUUUUGGAUGGACUCGCGGCCUAUCAGCUUGUUGGUGAGGUAAUAGCUCACCAAGGCGAUGACGGGUAGCCGGCCUGAGAGGGUGACCGGCCACACUGGGACUGAGACACGGCCCAGACUCCUACGGGAGCAG
rnacentral:rRNA from 1 species